rnacentral:rRNA from 1 species
AUGACUAUAGGAGGUAGGAUUACUCAGGAACCACUUUAUCCUAAGGGACACCCAAAAAGAAUUGAACAAGACUCUCAAAGAGUUAACAUUGAUGCACCUAGUCCUUCUAAAAAGAAAAAGAAGAAGAAAAAUGAUAAGACUUUGCAUGCCUCUAGUGAACCUGAAGUAGAAAAACCUCCUGAUAAUGAUAAUGAAGUUUCUAUCUCUGAUGCUGAAACUCAAUCUGGUAGUGAACACUCACCUUCUGAUAAUGAAAAACAUAAUGAUGAGGUUCAUGCAGACACUCAAACAAAUAAUAAAGAACCAGACAAUGAUGUUGAGAUAGAGCCAGCAGUUGAUCUUGAUAACCCACAACCCAAAAAUAAAAGAUACGAUAUAAGGGAUUUUGUUGCUAGAAAGCAUGGUAAGGAAAGAGAACCAUGGGUUCAAAAACCUAUGCCCUUUCCACCUAAGUCAACUAAAAAGAAAGAUGAUGAAGAAUUUGAACGCUUUGCUGAAAUGAUUUGGCCAGUCUUUUUGCGUACUCGCUUGACUGAUAUCUUGAAAAUGCCUCCUUAUGCAAAGUACAUGAAAGACAUCAUCACCAACAAGAGAAAAAUACCGUAA